rnacentral:lncRNA from 1 species
AACCGUGGGCACUGCUGAAUUUGAAUUGAGGGGCGAGGGAAAAGUUUUCCUCAGGUGUGGUGGGGAGAGGGAGGCGGAUGCCGGGAAACCGUAGGGACGCGGUCAGAAAGGCGACGGGCUGUCGGAGUUGGAAAGGUAAAGUUGGAGGCUCGGCGGCGUCCUGCCUCCGCGCUGGCCACACCCGCCGCGGCUGCCCGGGGCAGGGAGGGAUCUGGCUGAUUCUCCCUGUACCCUGUGCCCUCGGAGCUGCCCCUCCGAGCGCCCAGAGGUCCCCGCCUGCCUGCUUCCUGGAGGCAGGGCUACCAUCAGUCCCACGCCUCGCGUGUCCGCCCCCCGCACCCCGGGGCCAAGGAAAGGGAUCGCGGUCUGGACUCCCCGGGGAGUUCCCUUGAUGAGGGGAAGGGCAGGUUUGGGGACGGCGAGGACACGCGGCGACCGGAGAGAGGCUACCUGACCCGCGCAGCCCGGACUCCCUUCCCUUCCCUUCCAGGGACGCCUGGUUUCCCCCCAAGCGAACCGGGAUGGGAAGUGACUUCAAUGAGAUUGAACUUCAGCUGGAUUGAAAGAGAGGCUAGAAGUUCCGCUUGCCAGCAGCCUCCUUAGUAGAGCGGAAUGAGUAAUACCCACACGGUGCUUGUCUCACUUCCCCAUCCGCACCCGGCCCUCACCUGCUGUCACCUCGGCCUCCCACACCCGGUCCGCGCUCCCCGCCCUCUUCCUCGCGUAGAACCGUGGGAUCCUAGGUGGCAGGACUCAGAGCUAAGGUAUCCACAGGCCAUGAAUUCCUUCCUAAAUGAGCGGUCAUCGCCGUGCAGGACCUUAAGGCAAGAAGCAUCGGCUGACAGAUGUGAUCUCUGAACCUGAUAGAUUGCUGAUUUUAUCUUAUUUUAUCCUUGACUUGGUACAAGUUUUGGGAUUUCUGAAAAGACCAUACAGAUAACCACAAAUAUCAAGAAAGUCGUCUUCAGUAUUAAGUAGAAUUUAGAUUUAGGUUUCCUUCCUGCUUCCCACCUCCUUCGAAUAAGGAAACGUCUUUGGGACCAACUUUAUGGAAUAAAUAAGCUGAGCUGUAUUUCAAGUAAUAUAGUUAUAAAUUAACAAUGUAGCAGUUAUUGAUAGAGAAAUUGAGAAAACUGAAACGUGACCGGAGUAUUGGAAAUAACGUAGUACAUCACCUAGCACAAUGACACAUAGUAGGUGCUCAAUAAAUUUAUGCUUAUAAUUUUUGUCACUUCUAUGGCAGGAUUUUUUUAUUAGGUUAAAAUUAUCUUUUAAACACCUUCCGGAAUUUUAGAAUAUUCAUUAAUAAUGUCUUCAAACCUUUCAACUGAAAUAAAUUUACAGCUGAAGUCUGAUGAUUUAAAGUUAGAAAGUUUAAUCUUGAAUAUAAAUGAACAUUUUCUCUCCCACAUUUUCUUGGGCAUUUUGAGAAGUAAAUGCGUUAUUUAUUGGUCCAUGAAAUGUGACUGUAAAUAUUCUUUGCUAUACAUUAUGUCUAUAUAUCUGCAUUCAUCCUCAAUGCCAAAACUAGAAUCAUUAGUCUUAAUGAUCAUUUUAAGUACAGGCAGUCCUCGCUUUCCUUGAUACCAUGUUAACCGAAACUUGUGUAUGUCAACACGGUGUCCUUGCUUUGCUUGGUUAAGUGUGAGUUCUUCCUCCCUUUUUUUAAGAGUUGUACAAUGUUUUUCAGUCGCCUACCGAAUCAGGUCAUAGACUAUGGAAUUGACCCCACCCCACCAACAUUUUUACAGCUACCCUGAUUUCUGACCAGAAAGGAAAAAAAAACUUUCCAGCUCUAUCACACAUUUUACCUACUCUUAAACUUAGGAGGUAUUACAAAUAGCAUUUUCUCAUGUUCUCUUUCUGGCCUGUACCUCCCUGCUAAGCUUCCUUCAGUGUUCAUCCUCACCUCAUAGAGAGAUGAAGUGAAGAGACAAACAGAAGUCAUUUUCUUCCUUACUUUAGUGGUUUCUGGUUUAGUUAGUUUGGGCCAAACUGUGGACAAGUACCUUUUCAGGUAACUUUUUUUUCUUAUUUCUAUGUCCUCAACACCUAGUGGAGUACGUAGCCAAUAGUAGAUGCUUAAUAAACAUUUCUUAAAUUAAUAUUGUUGACCUUUUCUGACCCUGUUCUUGACAGUAAGGUACAUAAUCUGCCUUCAUCCCUUUAGUCCUUAGGAACAGAUAAAGUCAUGGAUAUGAAAGUGAUCACUGUCAUUAAUAUCCACAUUAAAAUUGCUCUUGAUUUUAGUUUCUCCAUAAUCAUUUUCCCUAAACAAUGAACUCUGUUCACCUUUUUUUUUAAAAUAUGCACAGUGAAUAUUACUGGUAGCCCAAAUCUUCUAACAUAAAAUUUCCAUUUUGUAAAAGCUUCUGAUAAGCAUAUAUGUUAUGAAUUGAAUGUUUGAUUAUUAUACUUUAAUAUUCUUGAAAAUAUUGAUACCUGGACUGGAAAGAAAACAGACAAAAGUAAAUCUCAGAAUAAAUUACUGCUUUAAACAUGA